AGUGUGCAUACAUGGGGGUCCAUUCCCCCAAGACUAGGCUAGGCUGGGAGAGGAGGUGGAAGGUCUGUACAGAGCAGGUCCCGGUAGUCCUUGACAGCUGUUCUCUGGGCUCUCCCAUCUGCACUGGGAAAGAGAGCCUCCAGGCUGGUGAGCUGUGCUCAGUGGCUGCCUGAGCGCCUUUAGUAAGCUGUUUACAUCUCUGCUGAAUCACAGGAGGGAAUCCCGGUUCACUCUUGGGAGUUUUGCCACCAAAAUGUUGCAGGACUUUAUGUCGUGGAGGUCCCCAGGGACUCUGAGCGUCUGUGUGUUUACCCCACUCUCCCCCACCCAGACUUAGCUUGGCUUUUGUGCUUUUGUGUCUCUUUCUGUGGCUCCUAGCACUCAUCAGCGUGAGUAAAGCAAACGCUUGCAGACUGACACCUGGAUGGAUAAAGGAACCAAUUCCUGUCACAAGAGUGGAAGCUAAACAAGCCUUCAGCCUGUUUUCCGAGCCUAUGGUGAGGAGGCUCAGGCUGGAUACCACGUCCUCUGUCUUCUGCCAGGCUGUCAUCAGACUCAGCACUUUGCCUCUGAAACAAGACACCUCAAGAGAUUGGGUAGCUGACAGGAUUGGGACCUCAAAGAGGAGCACCCCGUCGUCAUUAUCCUACUCCCCACCCAGGAACCCUACCUCCCCCAGCUUCACUGGCCAGGAACCAGGAGUUGCAAUCAGCGGGAAAAGGCACAAGCCCGGGGCCUCAGCUCUGAUUGGCUGCCCUAAGAAAGACGGAGGCACAGGGACUGAAGGAACGGAGUUAAGGUUUCACCUUCGAGGGUUCCCCAGACCCGACCCACCAGCUGCGAUUGAGAUGGGCACAGCUCAGGGCUCCAGUUUGAGACACUCCACUGCCUGGGCUCAGGAGCUCAAGAUCGAGAGGAUUUUGUUGAGCGCCCGCCUGAGCGUACCUCCACUUCCCUGCGCAAAGGCAGCAAGAGCUAUUGGUCUGAGGGUCAGCGGGGCGUGCCUGCCACCGCCACCACCACCACCAACUGAGGCUCUCUCCUAAAAUGACACUCACACCCGUUCUCCACCAAGCUUCUCUGGGCCUCGUCCUUCUACCUCACAACCUCUUGAACUUGAACCUUCAGAGACUUCUGGAAACUCUGUUAAGGUCACACAGCUAGUGGGAAGGCAAGCUGGCUCAAAGCCAGUGUGUUAAGCAUUUUCCCCUAGACAUACACAGGGCAGGGAACACACCCAUAGGCUUGGGCUCUGUGACUCUGCCAUCAGCUGUCAGGUUGAGGACCUCAAACAUCUGGCUCAGCAGAUACGACGGAUCAAGUGGGGCUGCAGCUGUUCUGAAGGGAGGGGCUGUCCCUCCUGUUAGGGUGUGACCCUUUUCUAGGAGAACUCGGGUUUUUUCAUCAAUAUAGGCAGGGAGAGAAUUUUCUCAAC
rnacentral:lncRNA from 1 species